AGAGGAGAACUUAGAGAAGGAAGGCGGUGGGUAUUAGGGCUAUGAGUGCUUUUUAAGGAAGGUCUCCAUAGAAGGUUCCCCCAGCAAAGUAGGGAGGGGUACUCCCCGAGAGGAGUCGAGGUGCCGGGGCCUGCUGCCUCGCCGACGCUGGGAGGAGCCCCGCGUCCCGCCGCGCUUGCCAAGGGUUGGCUGCGCUUGCGGCGGGAGUAGAGGCGCCUUGCGCACCAGGAAGUGACUGUUUCCUCGCCGCAGCAAACCAGGCCAUCCGCUGGCCUUUUAGUUUGCCGCCUCAGGUUUGUAAGAGGAUUUAUUGGUUACGAAGGAAGGUGGAUUUCAGUGUGUUCUUUGGAUGGCAGGCCUUAAGAGAAGAGUCCCACUGCACAGCCUCAGAUACUUCAUCUCCAUGGCGGGUCUCUUCUCCAAACCAGGACUGCUUCCCUGGUAUGCCAGAAAUCCACCAGGAUGGUCACAGCUCUUUCUGGGCACAGUAUGUAAGGGAGAUUUCACCCGUGUGAUAGCCACGAAGUGUCAGAAAGGACAAAAAAGUCAGAAGAAACCAAGCCAUCUUGGACCACUAGAUGGUUCCUGGCAGGAAAGGCUGGCUGAUGUUGUGACACCACUCUGGAGGUUGAGCUAUGAAGAACAGCUCAAGGUGAAAUUUGCAGCUCAGAAGAAAAUUUUACAAAGACUAGAGUCUUAUAUCCAAAUGCUCAAUGGAGUCAGUGUGACAACGGCUGUACCCAAAUCUGAGAGGCUCUCUUGUCUUCUCCAUCCUAUUAUACCCUCUCCUGUCAUCAAUGGUUACCGAAAUAAGUCCACCUUCUCUGUGAACCGAGGUCCAGAUGGCAAUCCAAAGACUGUGGGGUUCUACCUGGGAACUUGGAGAGAUGGGAACAUGGUCUGCGUGCAGUCUAAUCAUCUGAAAAACAUCCCUGAGAAGCACAGUCAAGUGGCACAGUACUAUGAAGUAUUCCUUCGACAGUCUCCAUUGGAGCCCUGCCUUGUAUUUCAUGAAGGUGGAUACUGGCGUGAGCUCACAGUCCGCACCAAUAGCCAAGGGCACACAAUGGCUAUCAUCACUUUCCAUCCCCAGAAUUUAAGUCAGGAGGAGCUCCAUGUUCAGAAGGAGAUUGUAAAGGAAUUUUUCAUCAGAGGUCCUGGAGCAGCCUGUGACUUGACCUCACUUUACUUCCAGGAAAGUACCAUGACCCGUUGCAGCCAUCAGCAGUCUCCCUAUCAGCUUCUGUUUGGGGAACCCUACAUCUUUGAAGAACUUCUGAGCUUGAAGAUCCGCAUCUCUCCAGAUGCCUUUUUCCAGAUUAACACUGCUGGUGCAGAGAUGCUGUAUCGGACUGUGGGGGAGCUGACUGGAGUGAACUCUGACACCAUCCUUCUUGACAUCUGCUGUGGAACUGGUGUGAUUGGCCUCUCUCUGUCUCAGCAUACAUCUCGGGUCCUUGGGAUUGAAUUGGUGGAGCAGGCAGUGGAGGAUGCAAGAUGGACUGCAGCCUUCAAUGGCAUCACCAACUCUGAAUUUCAUACUGGUCGAGCAGAGAAGAUUUUGCCAGGGCUGCUAAAGUCAAAGGAAGAUGGACAGUCAAUUGUUGCUGUGGUGAACCCAGCCCGUGCCGGACUGCAUUACAAGGUGAUUCAAGCCAUUCGAAACUUCAGGGCCAUCCACACGCUAGUUUUUGUUUCCUGCAAGCUCCAUGGUGAAUCCACUAGGAAUGUCAUUGAGCUGUGCUGUCCUCCAGACCCUGCUAAGAAGCUCUUAGGCGAGCCCUUUGUCCUGCAGCAAGUUGUACCUGUGGAUUUGUUCCCUCACACCCCACAUUGUGAGCUGGUGCUCCUCUUUACUCGAUAAGCAGCCUCCUAGAAGACUGCAGGCUAUUUGUUAAGGCUGAAGUUUCAGAAACUUUCAGAAAUGAGGUCUUGCUAUGUUGCACCAGUUGGCUUCAAACUCCUGGGCUCAAAGUGAUCCUUCCACCUCAACCUCCUGAGUAGCUGCGACUACAGGCAUGCAUCAGCAAGCUCGGCUAUUUUUAUGGGAUAGUUAUAUUUCUGCAAAACAUAAUUAACCCUUCUAAUCUAUAAACAUGUAUAUAUAUUUGUUUAUGUCUGUAUGAGCAUGGAGAAAUGAUUUGACAACAUCAGAACAACAUUUGUUACCUUGGAGGGGCAGAGGUGGGAAAGCAAAGUGGAAUAGUGAGGAAGAUUAUUAUUAUUUUCUUUGUUUUGUUCUAGUGGUUAUUUUUAAUAGUUGAUAACUGUGGAUUGUUGUGUAAUAUUAUAAAAAAGAGAAUUUAGAAACUACCCGUAUCUCUCAGAUCUAUGGCUCUCAUCUACCUGCAAGUUCCUAUCACCUCUUCCCUGCGUUUCUGCAAUAGCCUCAUUGCAUUUCUAUUUUUGCCCUUUUCCAAAUAUUUUCCCAUCUAAUAGGCAAGAUAAUUCUUUGGAAACCGAAAUGAGAACAUGGCACUCUCUUGGUUAAAAACCUUCAGUGGCCGGGCAUGGUGGCUCAUGCCUGUAAUCCCAGCACUUUGGGAGGCCGAAGCAGGUGGAUCACUUGAGAUCAGGAGUUCGAGACCAGCCUGGCCAACAUGGUGAAACCCUGCCUCUACUAAAAAUACAAAAAUUAGCUGGACGUGCUUGCUUGAACCUAGGAGGUGGAGGUUGCAGUGAGCCAAGAUUGUGCCACUGCACUUCAGGAUGGGUGACUGAGUGAGACUCUGUCUCAAAUAAAUAAAUAAAUACCUUCAAUGGCUUUCCUUAUACUUUGAAUAAAUUUCAAACUUCCUUUCUCAUGCUAAAAUGCCCUGAGCAAUCUACACCUACCCACCUCUCAAGUUCCUCCUCUUUGUUCCAGCUUUCCCCAUGCCCACUGGACUCCAGCCCCAACUGUUAGCUACUGGAGUAGGAACAACUACAUAGUCUUGCCUCAGGGCCUCCUUAUAUCCUACUCCUUAUAUUCUGCCACCUGUUCUCUGCCUCAGAUACUCUCUUCCCACCCUUUAUUUAAAAAAAUUUUUUUUUUUUUGAGACGGAGUUUCAUUCUUGUUGCCCAGGCUGGAAUGCAAUGGCCCAAUCUUGGCUCACUGCAACCUCCGUCUCCUGGGUUCAAGGGAUUCUCCUGCCUCAGCCUCCAGAGUAGCUGGGAUUACAGGUGUGCAUCACCAUGCCCGGCUAAUUUUUUAUUAGUAGUAGAGACAGGGCUUUACCAUGUUGGCCAGGCUGGUCUUGAACUCCUGAGCUCAGGUGAUCCACCUGCCUCAGCCUCCUAAAGUGCUGGGAUUACAGGCGUGAGCCACCGUGCCCGGCCCCACCCUUUACUUUAGUAGCCCUUUCUUAUCUUUCAGUGCUCGAUUUAAAUGUUACCUCCUCAAAGAAGCCUUCCCUGACUCAUCUUGGUUCAUCUCCCCUUUCUAUCUCUGCUAUUUUUAACAAGUUUUUAAAUAUAAAAUAAAGCACAGUUAGAGAAAACUACACAAAACAAAGCUUGAGGAGUUAUUUUAAAGUGAACACCCUUGGAACCACCACCCAGGUCAAGAAAUAGAAUGUUGUGAGCCAUCCCAGAGGCUCCUCCAUUUGCCACAUUCAAAUCACAGCUCCCUCCUUCCCUGCAAAAGUAGCCAUGAUUCUGACUUUUUUUUUUUUUUUUUUUUUUUUGCUAAUUAUUUCCUUGUGUUUCUUUAUGGUUUUUAUCAUCUAUGUAUGUAUUUCUAGACAGUAUAGGGUUUUUAAAAAUAUAUUUUCUUAGUGGUUACUAUGGGGACUACAGUCAGCAUCUUGAAUUUAUAACCCUCUAGUUUAAAUUGAUACCAGCAUAGUUUUAAUAGCAUAUAAAAAUUCUGUUCCUUUGUAGCUCCACCCCACUUUGUUGUCACAGCUUACAUUUUUGUACGUUGUAUGCCCAGUAAUAUAAAUUUAAAAUUAUUUUUAAGCAUUUGCUUUUUAAAUCAUGUAGGAAAUAAAAUGGAGUUACAAACCAGA